CCAAAAUCUCCUUUUUUACACGAUUGAACGAGAGAAUUAGCAAAAUCAUCCAGAAAUAUGAGGAGUUAUUUGAAGAUCCUAUCGAGGAUAUAGCAUCAAUUGGAUCUCAAUUCUGUGAUGAAAGAAAUAAAUAUUUAUAUGAUAAUUUAUUUAAUAAAAGUGGCUCUUCUGAAAAAAUUGUUAUAGAACAUUUUGAUGGAAAUAUAGAGGGGAUGUCUAGAGAUUCCUGCUAUGGUUCUAUGUGUAACCAUGAAACAAAAAAUGAUGUUAUUAAUAAAUUAGAAAAGACAAAUACAUACCUUAAUUUAAAUCAUGAGACUAUCAAUACAUCAUCAAAUGAAUUUGAUAUAAAAUCCUGUUACAUAAAUAAUGACACAAAAUGUUCUAUUAGUGGAAUUCCUUUAAUCAAACAAAACAAUAUUGAUUCUUGUGAGGAAAGUGUAAUAAUUCCUAGAUUUUUUACACCUCAAAAAAAAAAUAGACCAAAAAAAAUUAACAAUUUAAAUUAUAAAUACUCUAAAUCUUCAUGUGAUAA